rnacentral:lncRNA from 1 species
GGAGAAGACCUUAGUUUUUUUCUUUUUCUUCUUUUUUUUUUUUUUUUUUUUUUUUUUUGUUUUGUUUUGUUUUAUUUGCUUUGUUUUGUUUUUUUUUUUUUUUUUCAAGACAAGGUUUCUCUGUAUAGCCCUGGCUAUCCUGGAACUCACUCUGUAGACCAGGCUGGCAGGCUAGCCUCGAACUCAGAAGUCCACCUGCAUCUGCCUCCCAAGUGCUGGGAUUAAAGGCAUGCGCCACCACCGCCCGGCUUCUUCUUUUUUAAAUCAUUUAAACUACCAGUAUUGGAGCUGAAGAGAUGGCUUAGUGGAUAAAAGCACUGACUGCUCUUCCAGAGGACCUGGGUUCAAUUCCCAGCACCCACGUGGCAGCUCACACCUGUUUAUAACUCCAGUUCCAGGGGAACAGACACCUUCACAAAGAUAUACAUGCAGGCAAAAUGCACAUAAAAUAAAAAUAAACAAAUUAUUAAACUACCAAUAUUUGCCAGGCUUGGUGGUACUUUAAUCUCAGUAGUUGAGAGGCCAAGACAGCCAGAGCUCUGAGCUCUAAGCCAGGUCCACACAAAACCACUAAUAUUUAGAAUAAAAUAGAAACAUGUUACAACUACAAAUUUUCAUUAGCUUCUGGAAUAGACUGUCUUUUCUGGUUGCUAUUAAUAAAUUAUUGCUGCCAGGCGUGAUGGUACAUGCUUGUAAUCCCAUGACUCUAGAAACAUGCAGGAAGAUUGCUGCAAGUUUCAGGCUAGCCAAUUAAAUAUAUAAGACCAUUACUUAUAAUUUCUAAAGGUGUUGAUUUCUAAAAACAAUAAAGAAAAAUAAUAGUUUGAACUGACUUCAAAUAACUAAAGGUAAGACAUUUUUUCUUGCUUAUAUAGAGUACUAUAAACCUUGACAUGGGUGCUGAAGAGAUGCCUACAGUUUAAGAAAGCAUAUUGUGUGGGGUGUGGUGGCACCCUCUUUAGAACCCAGCACUUGAGAGGCAGAGGCCGGUGUCUGAGUCUGAGGGUUAGCCUGGUCUACAGAGACAGGUCAGCCAGGACUACAUAGAGAAACUGUCUGAAAAAAAACAAAAGUAAAGAAUCCAUACUGCUGUUACCAAGACUGGACUCUGGUUCCCAGCAUCCACAUAGGGCAGCUUAUAACUGCCUAUAACUCCAGCUCUAGAGGAUCUAAAGCCAACUUUGGUGUUUGUGAGUCUUGCAUUCACAUGCAUGGAUAUACACAAUUCCAAAUAAAAUAUUUCUUAAAUGACAUAGUUGUAGUAAAAUGAGGCUGAAGAGAUGGCUCAGUGGUUAAGAGCACUUAAUGCUCGUCCAGAGGACCCGAGUUCAAUUCUCAGUACCUAAAUCAUGUGCUAUAACAACUGCCUGAAACUCCACUUUCAGUGAAUCCUUUGGCCUCCAUGGGUACCCACAUACACAUGAUACUCAUAAACUCAUUUAGGUGCACACCCAUACACAUAAAUAAAAAUAAAUCUUUUUUUAAUUCAAGUUAUAAACACAGUAUAGUGGUUCACUUCUAUAAUUCCAGCACUCCAGAGACAGACAAGUUCAAGAUCAGCUUGGUCUGCAUAUUGAGUUCUAGGCCAGUCAAAGCUACACAGAAAUUUUCUGGGUUUUUUUGUUUGUUUGUUUGUUUGUUUGUU